rnacentral:lncRNA from 1 species
UCCUGAGUGGGAGAAUCGGUGUAGGGAUGUUCUGGGGAUGCUGGCUGUGGCUAGAUCAGGUCCAGCUACAGAAGAAUAAUGAAGACUUCACCUGAGGGCUGGAAAAACAAAACCUCAAGUGUGAGGCAGCCAACCUAUUACCUCGAGGGACUGUCCCGCAGCACAGCAGGGCCAUGGGAACAGCAGCAGACACCCCGGCCUCCUCACUACCUGUGUGUGUAUUAGACACCCAGCCUCCUCACUACCUGUGUAUUAGACACCCCGGCCUUCUCACUACCUGUAUCAACUAUGGCCUGAGUAUGAUACACUUAUCCAUGGUUUAAACAGAAUAUAUUGUUUUCAACUUUGAAAAUUAAAAUAUGGAAAUCCAGAUGCAGAAAUGUGAGAAGAGUGGAAGGUCAGGUGACCUUGCCUGUCACGAAUAUGAAGGUCAAGGUUUGUGAAUUGUGAAAUGUCCAAGAGAACCUCACUGAAGCAAAGAAUGGAGAAAGAACGCAUUUGGCCCUGGGAGGGUGCAGGGGUGAAUGGUGCAGGAGCUAAAUCUUUAUCAUACCCAGAAAUCAACAGCCACUAUUUGAAAUCAUCUAAAUUCACGCUGCUAACCUUCAGUGUACACACGAAUCACCUGGGGAUCUUAUUAAAAGCUAGUUUCUGAUUCACUAAA